GUGGACGGGGUGUAGGGGAGGUGGAGCCCCAUGGAACAUCGCGCCAAACAACUGUGAGUACUGCCAUCUAUCGGGAGGGCCUCCUGGGAAGAUCUUCACUGAAAACCCCCUCUCAUGGUAGUUUGACAUCAUGGCAGGGACUGAAACCACAUCAUUGUUAAAAUGGCUUCAGAAGAAAUGAAUUAUUUAAAUGAAUAUGAGUUCUAAUGCAAGACAGUAUUUUUUGCCCACAAGAUGGGAAAAUAUGUUCCAGGAAAAGACAGGAUCUGGAAUGCUGAUGAUGGUCAUUACCAGUCCCGCCGACUUCCGGUGGCCUGUGCGUAGCCGGACCGAGGUCGGGGAGCGGGCAAGCGUGUGGCGUCCGAGUGAGGGGGCGCGACC